AACGAACGCUGGCGGCAGUCUUAACACAUGCAAGUCGAGCGCCCCGCAAGGGGAGCGGCAGACGGGCGAGUAACGCGUGGGAAUCUACCCAUCUCUACGGAAUAACGCAUGGAACAGUGUGCUAAAACCGUGUACGUCCUUCGGGAGAUAGAUUUAUCGGAGAUGGAUGAGCCCGCGUUGGAGUAGCUAGUUGGUGGUGUAAAGGCCUAACAAGGGGACGAUCCAUAGCUGGUCUGCGAAGAUGAUCAGCCACCCUGGGACUAAGACACAGCCCAGACUCCUACGGGAGGUAGCAGUGGAGAAUAUUGGACAAUGGGCGCAAGCCUGAUCCAGCCAUGCCGCGUGAGUGAUGAAGGCCCGAGGGUUGUAAAGCUCUUUCAGCGGUGAAGAUACUGACGGUAACCGGAGAAGAAGCCCCGGCUAACUUCGUGCCAGCCGCCGCAGUAACAC
rnacentral:rRNA from 1 species